rnacentral:rRNA from 1 species
GACGAACGCUGGCGGCGUGCCUAAUACAUGCAAGUCGAGCGGACGGAUGGGAGCUUGCUCCCAGACCGUCAGCGGCGGACGGGUGAGUAACACGUGGGCAACCUGCCUGUAAGACUGGGAUAACUCCGGGAAACCGGGGCUAAUACCGGAUAACUCUUUCCCUCACAUGAGGGAAAGCUGAAAGAUGGCAUCUCGCUAUCACUUACAGAUGGGCCCGCGGCGCAUUAGCUAGGUGGUGAGGUAACGGCUCACCAAGGCGACGAUGCGGAGCCGACCUGAGAGGGUGAUCGGCCACACUGGGACUGAGACACGGCCCAGACUCCUACGGGAGGCAGCAGUAGGGAAUCUUCCGCAAUGGACGAAAGUCUGACGGAGCAACGCCGCGUGAGUGAUGAAGGUUUUCGGAUCGUAAAACUCUGUUGUCAGGGAAGAACAAGUACCGGAGUAACUGCCGGUACCUUGACGGUACCUGACCAGAAAGCCACGGCUAACUACGUG